rnacentral:pre_miRNA from 1 species
CGUGUAUUCUUUCCGUUCCGAAUUACUUGUCGCAGGUAUGGAUAUAUCUAGAUGUAUUUUAGUUCUAAAUAUAUUCAUUUUUGCGACGAGUAAUUUGGAAUGGAGAGAGUAGCUG